GAACGCUUUAGCAUUUGGGUAGCAGGAAUGGUUCAUACAGCUCUGAAUGGGGAAAAAGGCUGUACCUUGACAACAAAUUGAAUAGCUGUCGCCGAGAGCAUCCAAAAGGGGUCGGGUAAUUUCCUCAGCUUUCUCCUAUCAUUAAGAAUUAUAAACAUCAAGGCUUGCAAUUUCCAGGAUCUUUGAUGUAUAAAGACCAUGCAUUCUAACCUUGUAA
rnacentral:misc_RNA from 1 species